CAAUAGCGUAUAUUUAAGUUGUUGCAGUUAAAAAGCUCGUAGUUGGAUUUCGGGUGGGACGCAGCGGUCUCGCAUUGCGUUUGUACUGCUGCAGCCCUCCGUCUUGCCGGGGGCGGCCUCUCGGACUUCACUGUCUGGGGGUCAGAAUCGGCGAUGUUACUUUGAGUAAAUUAGAGUGUUCAAAGCAAGCUUACGCUCUGAAUAUAAUAGCAUGGGAUAACACGACAGGACUCUGGCCUAUCGUGUUGGUCUAUAGGACCAGAGUAAUGAUUAAGAGGGACAGUCGGGGGCAUUCGUAUUCCGUUGUCAGAGGUGAAAUUCUUGGAUUUACGGAAGACGAACAUCUGCGAAAGCAUUUGCCAAGGAUGUUUUCAUUGA
rnacentral:rRNA from 1 species